UACAUAUACAAAAAUUGGAAAAAAAAAUUGGAAGGCUACAGAGAAGAUUAGCCUAGCCCUUGCGCAAGGAGGACACGCAAAUCAGUGAAGCGUUCCAUAUUUUU
rnacentral:snRNA from 1 species